GCUGCACACAACUAGGACCACCACUAGAGAGUGAAGAUGGAGUCUCAGUCACCAGGCUGGAGUGCAGUGGCACAAUCUCAGCUCACUGCAACCUUCACCUCCUGGGUUCAAGCAAUUCCCCUGCCUCAGCCUCUCGAGUAGCUGGGACUACAGGUGCUCACCACCAUGCCUGGCUAAUUUUUUUUAUUUUAGUAGAGUCGGGGUUUCACCAUGUUGGCCAGGCUGGUCUCGAUCUCCUGAUCUCAUGAUCCACCUGCCUCGGCCUCCCAAAGUGCUGAGAUUAUAGGUUUGAGCCACCAUGACUGGCCGAAUUUUUGUAACUUCUUUUCACAUAGUGGUUUACUGGGUAAGGUGUAUCUUGCUUCUCCUACAUGAUAUUCUUAUUUAUGAUGAAUUAAAACAAAUAAAGAAAAGUAAAAGAAAGGCAAAGGAACCAUAUUGUUCUUCUCCAUAAUUUUCAAGAUUUCAGAUUUUUUGUCUCUCAUUUCAACUUUCCUAGAAAGCAAACCUCAACAAUUGCUUAUAUAUUAAAAACAAAACAAAUAUAAGCCUGAAUAUCAGGAAGUAAGAGAAGUGACUUUCUGCUGACAAAAUAGCAAAACAUAUGUUAGCAAAAUUCAGUGCAGCAAAAUUAGAGACUAGGGACUCUGUCCCAGGGGAAGGAUGAAUGUCAUUGUUGAGGUACACAAAAGCAAGGGAAACGGCUGCUUCUGCCAGAGCCUCACAGAAGAGCAACUCCUGGGUCAAUGGAUUGUCCUCAGCUUUGCAAGACCAGCCACCUGCUCUUCUUUCAUUGAAUGCAGAUGUUAUCACCUCUGAGGUAAGAAAGGAGGAGUCACACCAACCAACUCACAGUAGACUGGCAACAAGACCCCAGUUGCUAGAACACUAGUCCUCUCUGGCAUGAUAAUGAAUAUUAGCCUUGCCUUAGCACCGUACCUAGUUAAAAAAUCCACCCAGGAAAUGAAAAGAUGGCAUUUAGAAACCUGCAAAGAAACAGAAUUUGAUUUCCCAAAAGAUUCUGCUCCUAGUUGUGUUAUAACAAUGGUGAUUUUUUUAAAAGAUAACACCAAAAUUAUUGCAUUAUAACUAUAGGCCUGUGACUGUUUUAAGAUCAUUAAAACUGUUGACCCAAUAACCAUGUUUGGAUUACA
rnacentral:lncRNA from 1 species